rnacentral:rRNA from 1 species
CCCUUCGGGGUGAAGCUCGUGGAACGAGCGGCGGACGGGUGAGUAACACGUGGGCAACCUGCCUGUAAGAUCGGAAUAACCCCGGGAAACCGGGGCUAAUGCCGGGUAAUACUUUUCUUCGCAUGAAGAUGAGUUGAAAGAUGGCUUCUCGCUAUCACUUACAGAUGGGCCCGCGGCGCAUUAGCUAGUUGGUGAGGUAACGGCUCACCAAGGCAACGAUGCGUAGCCGACCUGAGAGGGUGAUCGGCCACACUGGGACUGAGACACGGCCCAGACUCCUACGGGAGGCAGCAGUAGGGAAUCUUCCGCAAUGGACGAAAGUCUGACGGAGCAACGCCGCGUGAACGAUGAAGGUCUUCGGAUCGUAAAGUUCUGUUGUCAGGGAAGAACAAGUACCGUGCGAAUAGAGCGGUACCUUGACGG